rnacentral:tRNA from 1 species
GCCCGUAUGGUGCUAGCGGUAGCACGGCCGCUUGGUAAGUGGCAGGGCAAGGUUCGACUCCUUGUUCGGGCUCCA